rnacentral:rRNA from 1 species
UACAUGGGGUGCAAACGUUGCUCGGAAUUAUUGGGCGUAAAGCGCACGUAGGUGGUCUGUUAUGUCAGAUGUGAAAGCCCUCGGCUUAACUGAGGAAGUGCACCUGAAACUGGCAGGCUUGAGUACGAAAGAGGGUCGCGGAAUUCCCGGUGUAGAGGUGAAAUUCGUAGAUAUCGUAAGGAAGACCAGUGGCGAAGGCGAGUCUCUGGACAGCAACUGACGCUGAGGCACGAAGGCCAGGGGAGCAAACGGG